rnacentral:rRNA from 1 species
AGAGUUUGAUCAUGGCUCAGAUUGAACGCUGGCGGAAUGCUUUACACAUGCAAGUCGAACGGCAGCACGGGUGCUUGCACCUGGUGGCGAGUGGCGAACGGGUGAGUAAUGCACCGGAACGUACCCAGUAAUGGGGGAUAACACAUCGAAAGAUGUGCUAAUACCGCAUACGCCCUGAGGGGGAAAGCGGGGGAUCGUAAGACCUCGCGUUAUUGGAGCGGCCGAUGCCGGAUUAGCUAGUUGGUGGGAUAAAGGCCUACCGAGGCGACGAUCCGUAGCUGGUCUGAGAGGACGACCAGCCACACUGGGACUGAGACACGGCCCAGACUCCUACGGGAGGCAGCAGUGGGGAAUUUUGGACAAUGGGGGAAACCCUGAUCCAGCCAUUCCGCGUGAGUGAAGAAGGCCUUCGGGUUGUAAAGCUCUUUCGCAAGGAAAGAAAACUUACCUACUAAUACUAGGUGAGGUUGACGGUACCUUGAUAAGAAGCACCGGCUAACUACGUGCCAGCAGCCGCGGUAAUACGUAGGGUGCGAGCGUUAAUCGGAAUUACUGGGCGUAAAGCGUGCGCAGGCGGUUCGACAAGUCUGAUGUGAAAUCCCCGGGCUCAACCUGGGAACUGCGUUGGAAACUGUCGGGCUAGAGUGUAGAAGAGGGGGGUAGAAUUCCACGUGUAGCAGUGAAAUGCGUAGAGAUGUGG